rnacentral:lncRNA from 1 species
AGCCGUGAACGAGAUCUGCAGCCAUGGCUAUUGCACAGGCUAGAGAAGCUGCUGCUACGUAGAGCCCAAUCCAUGGUAGAGGCUGAGUGUACUUUGCCUCGUUCAGGUUCCCGUCAGCGCUGCAACCCACCAUUUGAAUCCAAGGUAAGUCGCUACUGGGUCUUGAGUUUCUGAAGCCUAAAUUAGGAAAGGUGGAAAAUUUUUGUGUCUGAAGGGUUCUUCGAAUUUUCUUAAGGUCGAUGGUCAAGUGUAGAUGUAGAGGAACGAGCGAAGGAAAGUUGAGGGGGUUAAAAAAGUCAAAGCAGAGGAGCCCAGGUGAUUCCGCUGUCUAGGAUAUUGACAGUAGUGGUUGAUAAUCUUACAAUUAUGUUGAACAUAAUUCUUUAGUGGUUGCCUAAUGAAGUAAUGAUUUGUAAUUAUAUGAAGACUCAGGAAUGAUAAUGACGUAGUAGGUGAUUUCUGCUGAAAUGUCUUCUUUCUUUCUUCUCAUUCAAAGCAAGCCAUUAAAGUUUGACUAUUGACUUGUAACAGGUGAAUGAAUGACUGAGAUUCGGCAUCCUCAGCCAAAUCAACCGACGUGAAGGUAUCCUGUAAGAUUGAGUUGAGUUUUUGCUGUAAGUAGUGGUGGAUGGUCAUGAUUUUGAAUUGAUCAUUGUUGCAUGAGUUUCUCAAGUCUUGAAGUGAAGCUAGCGUGAUGUAUAUCGUAUUUGUUACAUGUCGUUUGCUAUCGUAUCGUAUGAGCUUUUCUAGAUAGAGAGAUUAAUCAGUGAAGCUUCAGCAAGUGAUGUUCGUACUGGGACUAACUGGGAGCGAAGUGAAGAACAGAACGGAGGCAAAGAAGCUGAGCAGAUGCAUGGUUAGACGACGCUCUUUUAUUCACAGCAAAGCGACCGGUGAAUACGUAUAUAUUUAAAACUACGUAAAGCAAGAUAUACUUUUCAUUAAGGGUUUAAAUUCAUUUAAUUAAUUUUCAACUCAAUUAUAUUAAAUUAAAUUAAAUAUUAAUUAAAAAAAUUCAUUUGAAG